UGAGAAUUCUGCUGAGUUGAAGGGAUCCUCCUGUCAGACAACCUCUCCAAAGUACAAUAGGACUAGGUUCCCACUACAAGGAUUAGAUUUGGCUACUGCAGUCCCGGUUUGGGCCAGCCUCACUUGUGAAGA